rnacentral:rRNA from 1 species
AUCGAACGCUGGCGGCAGGCCUAACACAUGCAAGUCGAACGAGUGGCGGACGGGUGAGUAAUGUCUGGGAAACUGCCUGAUGGAGGGGGAUAACUACUGGAAACGGUAGCUAAUACAGCAUACCAUCAGAUGUGCCCAGAUGGGAUGAGCUUGUUGGUGGGGUAACGGCUCACCAGGGCGACGAUCCCUAGCUGGUCUGAAAGGAUGACCAGCGUCACUGGAAUGUAGACACCGUGCAGAAUCCUACGGGAGUCAGCAGUUGGGAAUAUUUCACAAUGGGCGCAAGCAUGAUGCAGCCAUGCCGCGUGUAUGAAGAAGGCCUCAGGGUUGUAAAGUACUUUCAGCGGGGAGGCGUUACCCGUAGAAGAAGCACGAGCUAAGUCCGUGCCAGCAGCGGCGGUAAAAC